UGGGGAAUUUUGGACAAUGGGGGCAACCCUGAUCCAGCCAUGCCGCGUGUAUGAAGAAGGCCUUAGGGUUGUAAAGUACUUUUGUUAGGGAAGAAAAGUCAGCUGUGAAUAAUGGCUGAUACUGACGGUACCUAAAGAAUAAGCACCGGCUAACUACGUGCCAGCAGCCGCGGUAAUACGUAGGGUGCGAGCGUUAAUCGGAAUUAUUGGGCGUAAAGCGAGUGUAGACGGUUAUUUAAGCCAGAUGUGAAAUACCCGAGCCUAACUUGGGAGGUGCAUAUGGAACUGGGUAGCUAGAGUGUGUCAGAGGGAGGUAGAACUCCACGUGUAGCAGUGAAAUGCGUAGAGAUGUGGAAGAAUACCGAUGGCGAAGGCAGCCUCCUGGGAUAACACUGACGUUGAGGCUCGAAAGCGUGGGGAGCAAACAGGAUUAGAUACCCUGGUA
rnacentral:rRNA from 1 species